rnacentral:rRNA from 1 species
GUGUCAGCAGCCGCGGUAAGACAGAGGGUGCAAACGUUGUUCGGAAUUACUGGGCGUAAAGCGUGUGUAGGCGGCCUCGCAAGUCGGAUGUGAAAGCCCCGGGCUCAACCCGGGAAGUGCACUCGAUACUGCUUGGCUAGAGUCUCGGAGAGGUUGGUGGAAUUCUCGGUGUAGAGGUGAAAUUCGUAGAUAUCGAGAGGAACACCGGUGGCGAAGGCGGCCAACUGGACGAAGACUGACGCUGAGACACGAAAGCGUGGGGAGCAAACAGGAUUAGAAACCCUUGUAGUCC